AACGAACGCUGGCGGCAUGCCUAACACAUGCAAGUCGAACGAGACCUUCGGGUCUAGUGGCGCACGGGUGCGUAACGCGUUGUAACCUUCCCUUAGGUUCGGAAUAACUCCCCGAAAUGGGUUCUAAUACCGGAUAAUGUCUUCGGACCAAAGAUUUAUCGCCUUUGGAUGGGCCCGCGUUGGAUUAGCUUGUUGGUAGGGUAAAAGCCUACCAAGGCGACGAUCCAUAGCUGGUCUGAGAGGAUGAUCAGCCACACUGGGACUGAGACACGGCCCAGACUACUACGGGAGGAAGCAGAGGGGAAUAUUGGAAAAUGGGCGAAAGCCUGAUAAAGCAAGGACGCGUGAGUGAGGAAGGCAUGAGGGUUGUAAAGCUCUUUUAACCGGGAUGAUAAUGACAGUAACGGGAGAAUAAGCUCCGGCUAACUACGUG
rnacentral:rRNA from 1 species